CAGGGAGACAACAAAAAGUUUAAUAUUAUUAUUUUGUCACCUUAGGUCGAUCGGUAUCUCACGUUCUUAAUUUAUUAAGAAUUUUAUUUCCUAAGUUUUUCUAGGUCACACCCAUUAUUUUUCCUGGGCCAUUAGCUCAGGUGGUUAGAGCGCACCCCUGAUAAGGGUGAGGUCCCUGGUUCAAGUCCAGGAUGGCCCAUAUCUCUAUGUUGGGGGUAUAGCUCAGUUGGUAGAGCGCCUGCUUUGCAAGCAGGAUGUCAGCGGUUCGAGUCCGCUUACCUCCACUGAUUACCACCUCUUCCAUAAUCUGUAGUAAGGAAAAAUUUUGAGUUGUGAUUUUUAUUCUGAACGAAUCUAGCUUCCUAAUGAAACCAUUAAGAUGCUGGACUCAUUGAAUUAAUUUCUUUGUUUUCAGAGAACCUUGACAACUGCAUAGAUUAUUUUUAAAGACAAUAAGCAUCUUUAAUGAUGCGGAUUUAUUAUUUUUGCAAAUGCAUUAAUAACAAUUCUAUUAAGCUGAUGCUUCAAUUUUGAAGUUAUU
rnacentral:tRNA from 1 species